rnacentral:rRNA from 1 species
GACGAACGCUGGCGGCGUGCUUAACACAUGCAAGUCGAACGGAAAGGCCCUGCUUUUGUGGGGUGCUCGAGUGGCGAACGGGUGAGUAACACGUGAGUAACCUGCCCUUGACUUUGGGAUAACUUCAGGAAACUGGGGCUAAUACCUGAUAGGAUCUCCUGCUGCAUGGUGUGGGUUUGAAAGUUUCGGCGGUUGGGGAUGGACUCGCGGCUUAUCAGCUUGUUGGUGGGGUAGUUGCUUACCAAGGCUUUGACGGGUAGACGGCAUGAGAGGGUGACCGGCAACAUUGGGAAUGAGAUACGGACCAGACUCCUACGGGAGGCAGCAGUGGGGAAUAUUGCAAAAUGGGAGGAAGCAUGAUGCAGAAACGCCGCGUGCGGGAUGACGGCCUUCGGGUUGUAAACCGCUUUCGCCUGUGACGAAGCGUGAGUGACGGUAAUGGGUAAAGAAGCACCGGCUAACUACGUG